rnacentral:misc_RNA from 1 species
GAUGAAGAACGUAGCAAAAUGCGAUAAGUAAUGUGAAUUGCAGAAUUCAGUGAAUCAUCGAAUCUUUGAACGCACAUUGCGCCCGCUGGUAUUCCGGCGGGCAUGCCUGUUCGAGCGUCAUUUCAACCCUCAAGCCCCCGGGUUUGGUGUUGGGGAUCGGCUCUGCCCUUCUGGGCGGUGCCGCCCCCGAAAUACAUUGGCGGUCUCGCUGCAGCCUCCAUUGCGUAGUAGCUAACACCUCGCAACUGGAACGCGGCGCGGCCAUGCCGUAAAACCCCAACUUCUGAAUGUUGACCUCGGAUCAGGUAGCAAUACCCGCUGAACUUAAGCAUAUCAAUAAGCGGAGGA